GGUAUCGCCACAGAUGGCGAAGGAUGAACGUCAUCUAGUAACGGAACAUUAAACUAUGUUAUUGAUUGACGAAAGAAACGGGCGUGUCCGUUUGUGAACGGUAAUUGUGUUUAUGAAGUUGUCAGUGUGUGGUGAUAGAAGGGAGUUUGACAUUUUUGUGUGAUUGAAACAGUGGUGGUCAAAUUAUGGAAGACGUAGAACGAGAGGAUUUAUUAAUCCGUGCCAGUAGUGGUAUUGAACUAACGGAUAAUGAAGAUUCAUUUGAUGGCACAAAAGGCAGUGUGCUUGGUGAAAAUAAGACUAAUUCUUUUUAUGACAAAGUGCAGUUUAUUUGCAUUGGCCUUUUAUUAUGCUGUUCUUCGACAGCCAUAAUAAUUUUGUUACCCCUCUAUUUGGAGGCUGUGGAUUUUCAUGGCGAUGCAUAUACAGCCAUUAUUUUCACAUGUUUCUCAACAACUUUGGGGUUAUUUGUUGUGUCGUGUAUAGCUGGAAGAUUGAGAAAUGGCCUGAGAUCAAGUUUAAUGCCACCAUUUGCAUUUUCAUUCGUUCUUCGCACCGGCGUAAUCUAUGGAUUAAGUUGCUUUCUGGUGAUAUAUUCCCUUGAAAGGAAGAAAGUCGUAUGCCACCUGCAGGAUCCCAUCAAGAUGAUUGUACUUAUCUUUUCACUGUUCUAUUAUUUCUUCUUUUGCAGGAAAAUGAUGAGUCUCGAGAAGAUUUUAUGGUCUUCACUCGUCAUUAUUGGGCUGUUUAUCACUGUUGACUAUGGCCUGUGUGAUGAGUUCCUUUGCCGUGGCAAUGAGCGCAAGAACAGGAAUGAGGAUGCUGGGGACUGGAGCUGGCAGAGUCACGUGGUGUGGACAUUGGUAUACGUUGUGGCACUUGCACUGUGGAGCCUCACUUAUACGUUGUUGGAAGGACAUCUGCUAAUGUCUGGGGACUUUACAUAUGUAGGGCCAGGAUGUUCUCGCCUGCUCACUGUGUCCCGGUUAGUUUCUACAAGAGAUAUUCACUCUCAUUCAACCACAUGUCAUUCAUGUCCACUUUUGAAUAACACAGAUGAGAGCCAAGGGAUUUCUUCAGAGCAGGAACAGUGCACCAGCUCACCCACGAGACAACGUAGGCAGAUCACAUACGUAAGUCAACAGGACUCUGACUCCGACGUCAGGCCAAAAGCUCUGCCUAUAGCAUUAUGGCUGCAUCUCAUCACACUGGUGGUGGCUUUGGCUUUGUGCUGGACUGAUAUGAUUUCUGUAUUGGGGAAGGGUUCUUCUGCAGAUGAGUUUUUGAAUUUGACAAGAAAUGGCUUAUACUGUCAUUUUGGUGGACAUGACAAAAUGGCACAUAACAUGAGUAAUGAAGGGAUGUCAACGAGUAUUUAUGACACUUGUCACCAGGUAGCGAUCUAUGCAUGGCCAUUUCUCUUCGCAUAUAUACUUUUCGUGCUGUCAUCAGUUCAGUUCCUCAUAAUGACUGAGUCAGCUGUUUUCACGGUGGCCGUGAGCACCAUCGCUCUCCCACUUGCUGGAAUAUGGUGGUCUCUAUUCCGUAUGACAGCAUCAACCCCAGGUUUGUUGGAGUGGUUUCCUGCGGCGACUGGUGGACUUGUCUGCUCGGUGUUUGGCCUUCUCAUCGUACUGUCAGGGAUGGUGCUGUUAUGUAAAGCACACUUCAAGGAGUUCAGAUGUGGGUAGGUUGUAGUGACCUGCCUAAGGCAUCAAGAGCAGUAAGUGCAGGCGCAGACUGGAGAUCGGCAGUUACCGGCUUACCCGGUGUCUUACGUGAGCGAUUAAAUGUGAGCGGUGCGUGUUGCGUGGGUGAAGCAGAAAUAUCAAACUGACUGUUUGUAUGGCGCUGUCCUAGGUUACAGCGAAUCAGUCAAGAGAGUAAAGCGGCCGGAUUCCGAGAUCAAAUAUUUUGAUAUUUUCGCGCAGGUCGCUGCGCUGACCAGUAAGGCGCAUGCGCAAGAAAGCUCUGCCUGUGCAGUACACGGAAGGGGCAUGCGCAGGAAGGCCGUGUGUUUCUCUUACGUAGGACACAAGUGAUUCCCUUAUGUCAUAUGACACCCCAUGCUGCUUAUGCAGCUUGCACAGCUCGCUUCUUAUCGCUUACCUAGGACAUUGCCUUAGAGUUGCCUCGGCACAUAACUGUGAAGGAAACAUUAGUUUACAAAAAUUUUAGGUGCCGCUGCAUGUAUGAGGAUUUAAUGUCUUGGACUUAAUUUUGUCCGUUGAACUUGGGAGUAACGCAAUAUCCUUGUUCCCACAGCCAUUGCAUUAUUAUGCUGGUAAAAAAUUCAAAGAUAAAAUUAAGCCCUAAUUAUGUUAUGUUACAUAUAAUGAUAAAUGUAUAUUACAAUGGAAGUAUUGUAGAUAGUAAAUUAUAGAAUUUCUGAUUUGACAGAUGUAUUUAGUUGAAAGGGUCCAAGAAGUAUCACACUUUGUUAUGAACCUUCAAGCACUGCAAAUUUUGUCAUUUAUAGCAGUAGUAUGUCAGGCAAAACUGUCAAAGAAGGUGAUUAGCUAAUAUAGUUACUUCAUUAACAGAGUGACUUAAAAGCUGUAUAACCUAUAAAUGAAAUAGUAAUUAUUUUAAUUGUACAAAGUUUUUUGCAAUGAACACAUUCCAUAAAGAUAGUCAGAGUGACAUCCUGUUUACAGCAGUUGGUCAUUCAGGAUUGAUCCUUGUUUUUGAUGGACCAUCCCCAUUGAUUUGUGAGACUUUACAUUGCUGCAAGUUUAUUUGGAACUGGACAGUCCAGAAUGGCUCCCCUGUAUGCAUUCAAAUAAACUAAUUAUGAUCAGUGCUUAAACAUGUGGGUAGACAGACUUACUGCAGGAAAAGAGCGGAUUCAUAUUUAUUUGUACAUGAUCAGUUAGUAAAGGAUUUGAUGAAUUGGGUUCUGUGGAUUCGUUUUGAAGUGCUUAUAGGGCCAGGCUUUAUGUCCUCUGGGUCGGACAGUUGAGGGUUUGGGGAGCGCACACUGCUGUGUAAAAACCAUGUAGUAGCAUUCGUCCAAAUACAAUCCAAUAAUCUAAAACUAAAGCCAAAAGCCUUAUACAAUAAUGUACCAUUUCAAAUAGAAUUGAGUAGUAAUUUAAUAGCUCUUAAGAUUAUAUAAACUCCUACAAAUCCUGACGCAUAAGUACCAAAGCUGCCAAAAACACCCCACACUGUUUUAUCACAUUGUUUGAGAUAGCAGAGAAGUCUCGAGUUGUCCGAAUCCAACACCUUGUUGGACUACGUGCUGACCUAUGUAACCUCGGCUAAUCACAUCUAACACAGCUUCUCGUUCUCCAGUGAACAUCAACAAAGAUUCAAGUUUGGAUAGAUCUUCAGGAUUGUAAAUACCUUUAAUGGCCAAGUUCUUCGACUCUAUAUAGGUCCAUCGUGGGUGUACCUCGGGAGUUAAUGUAACAGGUUCGAACCAUUAGAAAUGUAUAUAAAUAUAAAUUUACCUGGUGUAAUUGACAAACAAGAUUCUUAAAAUGCUAUUAGGAAGUUGGGAUCUUUAGAGGAAGUCGUAAAUUGUGCACUUUUUUUAGUAAUAUCAAAAAUGUUAGUUCUGGCUAGAUGGAAGAUGAAAUAAUGAAAAUUAAGACAUGGAAUAAAACGUGAACAAGUUUAAUACAAAUGACAACUUUCGUAAAGCCAGCUUGGCAGUGCUUCUUACGAGCAGAGAUUUCAGGUUCUUGCGAUGACUGUCUUUUGUGUUGUUGCGUCAUGCUGUCUGCCUCCAUUAUCAGGGUGAUGAGUCAUCCUGAAGUUGGAGAUAGCAAGCAUCAGUAAACUUCUUCCAGACUACACGGUGCAACAUCCCAGAAGACAGUCGUCUUCCUACUUCCUCAUUCACUGUCUCGCACAGUGUAAUCUGGCUCUCUCCCUUUUUUUUAUUCAAGUAUAUUACUUUACUUUGCUGACUGCCAUGACAAAUAUUCCAUGCAGUGCUUGGUUCAUCUGCUUAACCUUAAUGUGAUACUAGCAACAGUAGAGUAACUGUGUACAUUCUUGCAUUAGUAUCAAUAAUCCUUAUUGUUAAAAUGACCAAUGAUAUAAUCAAGCCAAACGUCCAGUGUACUGUUUAUGUAUUAAUUUGUGCCAAAACCAGCUGUUGCAUUUAGUUAGCGACUUUAUGUUGUAUUAUGUGCCAAGGAACUUGUAUACACAUAUAUUUGUAAGACUUUAUUGUUACAUGUUUGAGAAGCUUUGGUCAUAAGUAUCGUAUCGGCGACAGGGCACUGAUCUCAGUUUGUGUGUUUUGGACACGCUGCCCUUCUUACUUCCAGUCCUGUCAGUAUUACAACUAAUUCCCUGGUUUUUGGUCUGUUUGGCCGCGGAACAUAGUCACAUAGAUCAUUGUCGUCAGAGAGUUACCAGAUUCUGUUUUCAACCAACUUGUGGUGGGAAUUUCAAACAUACUUGUUUAAAACUUCUCAUACGAUGGCAGACAGGAUGUGUGGAUGAUGGUGUUAAUGUUUUAUCAUAUGGGAAUAGGGGAUUUAUAUCCCUGUAUUACAGGGAUGCUAGUCAGACUUUGUCUUCAGGGUUAAUGGUAUGCUUUGUGAUGAAUGGCGAGUUGUGUGAUGCCUAAUGUGGAUUAUGUAGACAGUUUAAUGUUCAGGAAUAUAAUAUUCAGCACUCUGAUAACUUGAAUGUACACAUGUCAAGUUGAGUUGGUAAAUAACCUACUUUAUGAUGCCGAGUGGUUCGAAGGUGAAGGUUUAACAAAUGGCUGCUGUUUUAAGCUUCACAAGAAGAAACUUCCUACUUACAGAAUUAACAGACUGUGCUAAUUGACGGCUGAAGGCUUUUGCAUGUGGGUGCUCCAUUCUUUUACCCUGUCUCAUUAAAAUCAUUUAAUACUAUGCGAUGAAUGGCCAAAUCAUUUUAGUUGCUGCAGUAAUACACAUGCACAGCGUAACAUAUGAGAGGGGUGGCUUAUAGCGAGAGAUAGCGUAAAAUUUUGUUCUUAAUGCGUUACUUUUAUUAUGAAUUAUUAGUGUCAAGGUACAAUAGUACUUUGGUUUAGACGUAAUAUUUUCCAAAGUAGGAUUUGAGGUACUCGUGGCAGUGAGUAUGAAGAUGGCUGUCUUUUGGGUUGUGUUGCCUUGUAGUCUGGUAGAAGUUUACCAACAUUUAAGAGGUACUUGCAGCCUCAAUCAUCAGGCUGAUGAGUCUUAGACUACAUGGUUCUACAACCCAGAAGACACCAAUCUUAAUAUUUUUUUCUAUUUUUUUUUUACUCUAAUUUGGAGUAUUAAUACUGCAAUAUGUAGGAGGAAUAUCAAUGAAUUUAAACCAGUCCCAUGAGUUUUCUUUCUUCAGUUUGAAAUUAUAUAUUAUUAUGAAUAUUAAUAUUCAUUCCAAAGAAUGCUUAUAGUUUUGGACCUUACCUGAAGAAUGUUAAAGAAAGAACAAAUUCUACUGCCUUUCUGCAGUCUUUGUACUCUCACUUUCACUGAGAUAACCUACUAAACAUUAAACUGUCACAAAAGUCAACUAGAAUGUAAAAAUAUCCAUACAUUUCAGCUAAUAAAAUUAAGAAUUUUGUUUAAGUUUUCAUAUUCUCAUCUUUUUACAGAGUUAUUCCUCAUAAUUUUCGUCUUGUACCAGUGGUUUUUGAUUGUGGCACUUUCUGUACUAGGUGUGAUGUUCUUCAUAAUCAGUGUCAUUAUUACUAUAAUAAUAAUACAUUAUUUUAUUACAUUUAUUUUAUCUAGACUGAAUCUUUUAUCACCAUUCCAGGCAGCAGCAUCUUGAUAACCUGUUUCCUUAUUAAUGUAAUUAAAAAGCAAAAUUAGUUGUUCUUCCAUAUUUCAUUCUGUCAGUGUAUGGAUACAUGCUAGAAUAACUUGCUCAAAGUGUAUUCCAUACCGGAAUGCACGUAAUAUCCUCGUGUGUUCUUUGCAAUGUGCAUUUAAAGGUAUUAAAUCCACCAUGUUUGAUAGUACCGACUUGCAACCAGAUUACAGCACCUGCGUCUACCUCACGAUUUUCCUCAUCCGUCAUUUUGUUAUCACCACUCAGGAUAUUGGAAGCUACAAUUUUGAAGUCGUGCAGAAUAGCACAACCUUCACAUCAAAUUUCAUUCAGAUCUAUCCAGUAGUUCUGAAGUUGAAUCGACUGGGCAGAAGGACGGACGGACGGACGGAAUGUCCGGCCCAUAAUGUUCUCUCACCAUGCACUUUGUGCAAAGAAUACAUAACAAGUAUUAUAUUUUGCUAAUGGAUAUUGCUUGUAAAUAGAUUUUCUUUUUUUGUCUAUAUUGUUUGUAUUUCAUAUUGUACAUUUGACCAUGUUUCUGUUUUAUUAAUGUUACUUCUUAAUCUUUUAUGUAAUUUGUUCUCGUGCUGUUGUUUGUACCGCAUUGUGUGUGGCUGUUGUUUGUACCGCAUUGUGUGUGGCUGUUGUCAAGCAUAAGAAUAAAUGAAUUUAAUUCAAUUUCUGUCAGAUGCAAUGCAUCUUA